rnacentral:rRNA from 1 species
AGUGAACGCUGGCGGUAGGCCUAACACAUGCAAGUCGAGCGGCAGCACAGUAAGAGCUUGCUCUUACGGGUGGCGAGUGGCGGACGGGUGAGGAAUACAUCGGAAUCUACUUUUUCGUGGGGGAUAACGUAGGGAAACUUACGCUAAUACCGCAUACGACCUACGGGUGAAAGCAGGGGAUCUUCGGACCUUGCGCGAUUGAAUGAGCCGAUGUCGGAUUAGCUAGUUGGCGGGGUAAAGGCCCACCAAGGCGACGAUCCGUAGCUGGUCUGAGAGGAUGAUCAGCCACACUGGAAAUGAGACACGGUCCAGACUCCUACGGGAGGCAGCAGUGGGGAAUAUUGGACAAUGGGCGCAAGCCUGAUCCAGCCAUACCGCGUGGGUGAAGAAGGCCUUCGGGUUGUAAAGCCCUUUUGUUGGGAAAGAAAAGCAGCAGGUUAAUACCCCGCUGUUCUGACGGUACCCAAAGAAUAAGCACCGGCUAACUUCGUG